rnacentral:rRNA from 1 species
UACGUAGGGUCCGAGCGUUGUCCGGAUUUAUUGGGCGUAAAGAGCUCGUAGGCGGUUCCGUAAGUCAGAUGUGAAAACUCAGGGCUCAACCCGGAGACGCCAUCUGAUACUGCGGUGACUGGAGUCUGGUAGGGGAACACGGAAUUCCUGGUGUAGCGGUGAAAUGCGCAGAUAUCAGGAAGAACACCCGUGGCGAAGGCGGCUCUCUGGGACGGUACUGACGCUGAGACGCGAAGGCGUGGGGAGCGAACAGG